GAGUUGGGUGUGGUGGUCGUCUCUGAUUGGCCCUGAGAAUUUGUGAAGGUCUUCUUUUUUUUACCAGUGACCAGUCCCUAGGCAGACAGCAAUUAGGAAGGACGGUGUUUUUAAAGCUGUGUAAUUGCAACAUUAGUUGCUGCAAUAUUCCAAGUUCGCUAUAGCCUUGUGGAAGUUGCGUCGCAAACAUUGGCACUCACGAGAAAUUUGAUCAAAGUAAGAGAGUGAAAGUAGUUGGAGUAAACUGUUCAGACCAAGAGAAAAUUCAAGAGCACGACAGAAAGAAAGCCAGAAGAUUCAAGAGCACGACAGAAAGAAAGCCAGAAAAUUCAAGAGCACGACAGAAAGAAAGCCAGAAAAUUCAAGAGUAAAAUAUCAAGACAAGUAUUAAGGUGAUCCAGGGCUGUGAUAAUUUCUCUGGAGACCUUACAAAAUUUUUUUUUUUUUUGCUUGAUAUGAUCGCUGGCAGCUGCCCGGGCCCGGAAGGUUGUCGAACUUAUUUGCUGCUAAUAUAAUAUCUUGCUGCUAAUAUAAUAUCAAAUGUCUUAACUGGUUUACAUUUACAAGUUGAAAUAAGGAUAAUGAAGCAAGUCAAAUAUA